UUUUUUUAAUGACGUUUUUCAAAAACGUCAUGAAAUCUGCCCAGAUUUUUCAAAUUCUAAAAAAAUUAAACUAAAUCAUCUCGUUUUGUGGGCCAGUUAUUUUUUUAAAACAGUGGCUCAACUCAACGCAAUUGGAUCUUCAGAGGCGUGACUUCAGGAAAAGAGAGAAAUCAAGGCGUUGGAUCUUCAGAGGCAUCGGAUCUUCGAUCUCCAUCAAUUCUUCGGUUGUUUGGUCUGAAAAAUCUUGUUCUACUUGUGAUUUGAGUGUAUAUCUUCCUGAUUGUUCGAAUCCCUAUGAUCUAAAUCGAUCUAGGGCUCCAGAUUGAGCAGCAGCAAUGGUGAAUCGAUUUAUCUAGGGUUUCGAGUGCGGUGUUAAUGUCUCUGAUCAUGCGAGACAAGCAGGUGGUGUUGGAUGUGGAUCGUUGGAAACAAUAAAGCAUGUUGCAUUGAUGUGGAAAUCCUAUCAAGGUGCCUGGAAGCAAAGCUGACAGUUUGUUGCUGCUCUCUUAGCGGAGACAAAGAGGUCAUAUAUGUUGACAUUAAAUACAUGUUUAGUACUUCUUCAAAAAUCACCUCCCGCUACAAAGAAAGUACUUCGUUCUUUGGGCAGCUUAAAGAUACGUUUCAAAGCCAAGCAAGAAGUUAUGAAGCCUGUUACUUCUCCAUCCACAAAAUUCUUUAAAAUCAGAGUUAAGUAUGAGGCCAUUCUCUAGAGCCCCAGUAUUUGGUUCCACACACCAACCAAAAAAAUUAAAAAAAAUAAAAAUAAAAAAAAAGAAGAAGAAGAAGAAGAGCUAUUUGGGAAAGAAAACAUCAAUGAUCAAGAAGACUGUUAUCAUUGGGAAACCUAUUAAUCAAUAGCAAAGUUCUAGUUAAAAAAAUAACAUCAAAAUAACACAUUCUGUAAUUUGGCAAGACUGAGAAUCACAGCCUGCUUAACAGGCUACUAUGAAAAACAUGCUUCAUUUGACAAAAAAAAGCGAAAAAAGAUAUUUAAGACCUUUACCUGAACCGCCAUGGGUACCAACAGUUCUCAAUAGAAAAUUUUAUAGCAAGUUAAAACUGUAGCACAGGAGUUUACAAACUUGAAACCAACAUUGACAAAAUAAGUAGCAGUUCACAUUGAGAGAGAGAGACACAGAGAGAGGGAGGGGUAAGGGCAAUUAACAAGACUUGGAUAAUAUUUCAGUUACUGAAUUUUGGAUAGUGGGCAGAGAUAUGCCAAGAGGUAAUGAAUUUGUUCACUAGUUUUUAAUUUCUCACUUUUCUAAAUUUAUUAAAACAUGAUGUGAUUUGGUGUUGGAAAUUAGUGAAUAAUUGUAGCUUUUAAUUGUUUUAUUAACAAAACAAUUGAUGUGUUCUAAUUGAUGUUUUUUGGGAUGAUGUUGUGGAAUAUUUUGCUACAACAACUUGGUGAAGGAUGUGAUUCUACAAAGGUGUGCAACAGGGAAUCAUUUGGGCAGUACCUU